UUUAAUCCCUCAAUGGUGGAACCCUAGGAAGCUUUGGGGAUUUCCUGAAUUCGCAGAGUUCGCGCCGCGAACUUGCCUUCGUGCCGCGAACUGUGAAUUCCAGCACCAUAUUUUUUUUGUUUUAAUUGUUGCUAAUGUUGUCCAUAUUUGUUCUGUGGUUGUUCUGGUGUUGAUUGCAGAUGUCCAAAAGAACUAAAACCAUGGCACCUCCUCAAGCACGUUCAUUCAGGAAAUUCAUUAGUGAUGAACACGAGGCACGAUUUGAG
rnacentral:lncRNA from 1 species